rnacentral:tRNA from 1 species
GGGAAGUUGGCUCAGUGGUAGAGCGCUUACCUUGCAUGCAUGAGGCCGUGGGUUCCCCCAGUACUACAUA